rnacentral:lncRNA from 1 species
CUAUUUAACUAGCUUUUAGCCCUCUAAACUGGGUCGUUUUUGUAUCAAAUUCAAUUUAGCUUUGUUUGUCAAAUUUGUCUGGGGGUGCAUAAAAAUCGCAGAAAAGCUCCAUUGUCUAUUGAAACGGUGUCAAAUGAUAGCUCUAGUCACACUGGAACAGACCAUGUGGGCUACAUUACUGAGAAUGUCCUAUUUAACUAGCUUUUAGCCCUCUAAACUGGGUCGUUUUUGUAUCAAAUUCAAAUUAGCUUUGUUUGUCAAAUUUGUCUGAGGGUGCAUAAAAAUCGCAGAAAAGCUCCAUUGUCUAUUGAAACGGUGUCAAAUGAUAGCUCUAGUCACACUGGAACAGACCAUGUGUGCUACAUUACUGAGAAUGUCCUAUUUAACUAGCUUUUAGCCCUCUAAACUGGGUCGUUUUUGUAGUAAAUUCAAUUUAGCUUUGUUUGUCAAAUUUGUCUGA